rnacentral:rRNA from 1 species
UACGUAGGGGGCAAGCGUUGUCCGGAAUCAUUGGGCGUAAAGAGCUCGUAGGCGGCUGCUCAAGUCGAAUGUGAAAACUCGAGGCUCAACCUCGAGCCUGCAUUCGAUACUGGGCGGCUAGAGUCUGGUAGGGGGAUCUGGAAUUCCUGGUGUAGCGGUGGAAUGCGCAGAUAUCAGGAGGAACACCGGUGGCGAAGGCGGGAUCCUGGGCCAGUACUGACGCUGAGGAGCGAAAGCGUGGGGAGCAAACAGG